rnacentral:rRNA from 1 species
GAGUCUUAACCGGGCGUUAAGUUGCAGGGUAUAGACCCGAAACCCGGUGAUCUAGCCAUGGGCAGGUUGAAGGUUGGGUAACACUAACUGGAGGACCGAACCGACUAAUGUUGAAAAAUUAGCGGAUGACCUGUGGCUGGGGGUGAAAGGCCAAUCAAACCGGGAGAUAGCUGGUUCUCCCCGAAAGCUAUUUAGGUAGCGCCUCGUGAAUUCAUCUCCGGGGGUAGAGCACUGUUUCGGCUAGGGGGCCAUCCCGGCUUACCAACCCGAUGCAAACUGCGAAUACCGGAGAAUGUUAUCACGGGAGACACACGGCGGGUGCUAACGUCCGUCGUGAAGAGGGAAACAACCCAGACCGCCAGCUAAGGUCCCAAAGUCAUGGUUAAGUGGGAAACGAUGUGGGAAGGCCCAGACAGCCAGGAUGUUGGCUUAGAAGCAGCCAUCAUUUAAAGAAAGCGUAAUAGCUCACUGGUCGAGUCGGCCUGCGCGGAAGAUGUAACGGGGCUAAACCAUGCACCGAAGCUGCGGCAGCGACGCUGAUGCGUUGUUGGGUAGGGGAGCGUUCUGUAAGCCUGCGAAGGUGGCCUGUGAGGGUUGCUGGAGGUAUCAGAAGUGCGAAUGCUGACAUAAGUAACGAUAAAGCGGGUGAAAAGCCCGCUCGCCGGAAGACCAAGGGUUCCUGUCCAACGUUAAUCGGGGCAGGGUGAGUCGACCCCUAAGGCGAGGCCGAAAGGCGUAGUCGAUGGGAAACGGGUUAAUAUUCCCGUACUUGGUGUUACUGCGAAGGGGGGACGGAGAAGGCUAUGUUGGCCGGGCGACGGUUGUCCCGGUUUAAGCGUGUAGGUGUGUGUUCCAGGUAAAUCCGGUUCACUUUAACACUGAGGCGUGAUGACGAGGCACUACGGUGCUGAAGCAACAAAUGCCCUGCUUCCAGGAAAAGCCUCUAAGCAUCAGGUAACAUCAAAUCGUACCCCAAACCGACACAGGUGGUCAGGUAGAGAAUACCAAGGCGCUUGAGAGAACUCGGGUGAAGGAACUAGGCAAAAUGGUGCCGUAACUUCGGGAGAAGGCACGCUGACACGUAGGUGAAGUGAUUUACUCAUGGAGCUGAAGUCAGUCGAAGAUACCAGCUGGCUGCAACUGUUUAUUAAAAACACAGCACUGUGCAAACACGAAAGUGGACGUAUACGGUGUGACGCCUGCCCGGUGCCGGAAGGUUAAUUGAUGGGGUCAGCGCAAGCGAAGCUCCUGAUCGAAGCCCCGGUAAACGGCGGCCGUAACUAUAACGGUCCUAAGGUAGCGAAAUUCCUUGUCGGGUAAGUUCCGACCUGCACGAAUGGCGUAAUGAUGGCCAGGCUGUCUCCACCCGAGACUCAGUGAAAUUGAACUCGCUGUGAAGAUGCAGUGUACCCGCGGCAAGACGGAAAGACCCCGUGAACCUUUACUAUAGCUUGACACUGAACAUUGAGCCUUGAUGUGUAGGAUAGGUGGGAGGCUUUGAAGUGUGG